GACGAACGCUGGCGGCGUGCUUAACACAUGCAAGUCGAACGGAAAGGCUCCAGAUUGCUGGAGUACUCGAGUGGCGAGCGGGUGAGUAACACGUGGGUAAUCUGCCCUGCACUCUGGGAUAAGCCUGGGAAACUGGGUCUAAUACUGGAUAUGACCUUUCUCCUCAUGGGGUUUGGUGGAAAGUUUUUCGGUGUAGGAUGAGCCCGCGGCCUAUCAGCUUGUUGGUGGGGUGAUGGCCUACCAAGGCGACGACGGGUAGCCGGCCUGAGAGGGUGAUCGGCCACAUUGGGACUGAGAUACGGCCCAGACUCCUACGGGAGGCAGCAGUGGGGAAUAUUGCACAAUGGGCGGAAGCCUGAUGCAGCGACGCCGCGUGAGGGAUGACGGCCUUCGGGUUGUAAACCUCUUUCAGCAGGGACGAAGCGUAAGUGACGGUACCUGCAGAAGAAGCACCGGCUAACUACGUG
rnacentral:rRNA from 1 species